AUGAGGCACUAUUUUGUGGAGAAACCCACAUACCCGGAGUCGUAUUUUCGUCGCCGGUUUAGGAUGAGCACCGACUUGUUCAGGCGCAUUGCAGAGAAACUAGCGAGCCAUGACCAGUUUUUUCAGCAAAGGAGGAAUGCCGCCGGAGAGCUCGGGCAUAGCACCUUUCAGAAGGUGACAGCCGCUUUGUGUAUGUUGGCAUACGGUAUCCCGGCUGAUCUAGUUGAUGAUCACUUGGCUAUGGGUGAGAGCCAAGCAAUCAUGUGUGUCAAGCGCUUUGCAGUGGGAAUUAUGCAAGUGUUUGCUUGGCUCAAUAGAUUGCAUGCAUUGAAGUUGGAAGAAUUGUCCAAAGGCAUGGCAUGGGCAAUUCCACGGCCAAAAAAAGGGUUCCACUAUAAUCCUUGA
rnacentral:rRNA from 1 species